AUUGAACGCUGGCGGCAGGCUUAACACAUGCAAGUCGAGCGAGCGGCGGACGGGUGAGUAAUGUCUGGGAAACUGCCUGAUGGAGGGGGAUAACUACUGGAAACGGUAGCUACUACCGCAUACCAUCAGAUGUGCCCAGAUGGGAUUAGCUAGUUGGUGGGGUAAUGGCUCACCUAGGCGACGAUCCCUAGCUGGUCUGAGAGGAUGAUCAGCCACACUGGGACGGAGACACGGCCCAGACUCCUACGGGAGGCAGCAGUGGGGAAUCUUGGACAAUGGGCGAAAGCCUGAUGCAGCCAUGCCGCGUGUAUGAAGAAGGCCUUAGGGUUGUAAAGUACUUUCAGCGGGGAGGCGGUACCCGCAGAAGAAGCACCGGCUAACUCCGUGUCAGCAGCCGCGGUAAUAC
rnacentral:rRNA from 1 species